AAAGUUCUUGUUCAAAAAUGAUCAAAUGAAUAUUUUGUGAAUCAGUAUCCCAAAUAACGUUUAUAUUAAAGUUUUUUUUGCAUUCAUUUUCCAUUGAUCCUCAUGUGUCUCAUUAUAUCAGGAAACAAAGAAGUCAUUCACUUGAAGAUGAAAGGUAGUUGACAACAGAUCUAAAAGACUUUAAAGCGACCCACUGAUGCUUCUGUCAUGUUCAACAGAUUUGAAUGUGUAUCUUCAUGCCCAGGAUCACAAUUAUGCUUGUGCAGCAAGAAAAUCGUCCUAAAAUCGGAGGAACUAUGAGUCGUCGCUCGCUCACCGACCGCGGGCUGGAGCAGAACACGAA